GCGUUAUCCGGAUUUAUUGGGCGUAAAGCGAGCGCAGGCGGUUGCUUAGGUCUGAUGUGAAAGCCUUCGGCUUAACCGAAGAAGUGCAUCGGAAACCGGGCGACUUGAGUGCAGAAGAGGAAAGUGGAACUCCGUGUGUAGCGGUGAAAUGCGUAGAUAUAUGGAAGAACACCAGUGGCGAAGGCGGCUUUCUGGACUGUAACUGACGUUGAGGCUCGAAAGUGUGGGUAGCAAACAGGAUUAGAUACCCUGGUAGUCCACACCGUAAACGAUGAGUGCUAGGUGUUUGAGGGUUUCCGCCCUUAAGUGCUGCAGCAAACGCAUUAAGCACUCCGCCUGGGGAGUACGGCCGCAA
rnacentral:rRNA from 1 species